UGGAAAAAUAAACUGCCAGAUGACAAGCUGAAUUUUUUGACAACAAACUUCUUUGUACAGCAAAUACUGUAGAGGGAAGAUCUACAUAACAUCACCCGGGAUGUUGGAAAGAAAGAACAAACAAGAGGAUGAGCACAAAGAAAUACGGAUUUUUGGAUCCAUAUUCACUGGCAUGAUUUUUGAUGGUGUCACAAGGCCCAAACCAUGACUUGAUAGAUGAUAACCAUGGCACAUGUACUUUUCUUCUCAUAACAGUUGACAGUGUUCCAGGACACAGUGGGAAGAUGACUGCCUGCAAGCCAGGAAGAUGGACCUCAUCUGUGAACAGUAUUGGCCAGUACCGUGAUCUUGGACUUCUCGGCGUCCAGAACUGAUCAUACAAGAACAAACUUCUUUUAUUAUUUUAUGCGGUCUGCCUGAAAGCAAUGGUAUCAAAUCCAU